UACGUAGGUGACCAGCGUUGUCCGGAUUUAUUGGGCGUAAAGAGCGUGUAGGCGGCCAUGUAGGUCCGGUGUGAAAACUCGAGGCUUAACCUCGAGAUGUCAUCGGAAACCAUUUGGCUAGAGUCCGGAAGAGGAGAGUGGAAUUCCUGGUGUAGCGGUGAAAUGCGCAGAUAUCAGGAAGAACACCAAUGGCGAAAGCAGCUCUCUGGGACGGUACUGACGCUGAGACGCGAAAGCGUGGGGAGCGAACGGG
rnacentral:rRNA from 1 species